rnacentral:rRNA from 1 species
GACGAACCGUGCGAACGUUAUUCGGAAUCACUGGGCUUAAAGCGCGUGUAGGCGGGCCGGCACGUCCGGCGCUGAAAUCCCCCGGCUCAACCGGGGAACGGGCGCGGAUACGACCGGUCUGGAGGGGCGUAGGGGGACCUGGAACUUCCGGUGGAGCGGUGAAAUGCGUUGAGAUCGGAAGGAACGCCCGUGGCGAAAGCGAGGUCCUGGACGCUUACUGACGCUGAGACGCGAAAGCCAGGGGAGCGAACGG